GGAAUUAAAUUGUACGUUAUAGUCGCUUCUGUUGUUGGGUCAGUUCUUUUCCUGGUUAUUGUGAUUGUUGUUGGCGUUAUUUGCAAGAAAUAUUCGCGGUCUUCAAAGGCAAAGAUUGAUACAACAAACCUGCAAGGCGUUGAUCUUUGCAAAAUACCCAGACCCAAAAUAACUGGCAGUGAGCUAGGAUAUGGGUACAAUAAUGUAAAGCCGGACGCUCCAAAGAACAGGAGGAGGUAUGUUCAAAAUGAAAACACGUAUGGGAGCUUGACUGGCUACAGCGGCAGUGUUGCAAAUGACGGAUUUCCAAACACAGACAUGUAACAGCAGACCAUAAACCAACUAUGAAACAAACCUUCCGCCUACCGCAUCCUAGAUUUAUAUAUUGGGAAGCUCUAUAUAUUUUACAACAAUAAACAUUAACUUCCAAACCUUAUGUGUGAAUGCAAAGUGUAUAAUUGAUUUAUAUAAGAUCUGAAAAUGAUAAUAAUGUAUUUCGUGUACAAUGAAGGACAUAAUACGGACAAUAUUACAUAAUUAUAUGGAACACAUAAUUGAAUACAAUGUUUUAUUUAAAUUUAUUUUUAUCUAUGUUUAAUCAGGACUUUUAAAAAACUUUAUUUGUAUCUAUAUUUAAUCAGGAUUGUUUUCUUGUACUUUUCACCUAUGAUCGCUGGGGUUGUUUUUAUUGCAUAAUGGUGUCUACUGAUAUGUUUUUAAAUCCACUUGAUUUUUUUUUCUUAAAAACUCAUAAAAUAUGUUAACAGCCAAUAUAACAUUUCGAAGCAAGCCGUUUGGAAGAGCAAAACCUUUUUUAAUAUUGGAAACCUUCCUCAUGGAAUAUCCUAGUUAUGGGCAUAGUUUAAUUUUAAUAUUGUGUACAAAUAUAUAUCUUAUCAUAUUUUGUUUGGCUUUACUGUUCAUUUUCCGUAUAUUUUUUAAAUUAUAAAUAAACAAGUUUUUAGUGA